rnacentral:rRNA from 1 species
AUUGAACGCUGGCGGCAUGCCUUACACAUGCAAGUCGAACGGUAGAGUAGCAAUACUCGAGAGUGGCGAACGGGUGAGUAAUAUAUCGGAACGUGCCCAGUCGUGGGGGAUAACGUAGAGAAAUUUACGCUAAUACCGCAUACGAUCUAAGGAUGAAAGCGGGGGAUUCGCAAGAACCUCGCGCGAUUGGAGCGGCUGAUAUCAGAUUAGGUUGUUGGUGAGGUAAAAGCUCACCAAGCCGACGAUCUGUAGCUGGUUUGAGAGAACGACCAGCCACACUGGGACUGAGACACGGCCCAGACUCCUACGGGAGGCAGCAGUGGGGAAUUUUUGGGACAAUGGGCGAAAGCCUGAUCCAGCAAUGCCGCGUGCAGGAAG